rnacentral:misc_RNA from 1 species
GAUGAAGAACGUAGCGAAAUGCGAUAAGUAAUGUGAAUUGCAGAAUUCAGUGAAUCAUCGAAUCUUUGAACGCACAUUGCGCCCCUUGGUAUUCCGAGGGGCAUGCCUAUUCGAGCGUCAUUAUCACCCCUCAAGCCUAGCUUGGUGUUGAGGCCUGCUGUCAAGGCAGCCUCUAAAAUCAGUGGCAGUGCUGUCAGGCUCUAAGCGUAGUAAAUCUAAUCGCUAUAGACACCUGGUGGACACUCGCCAGAACCCCCCCCAUUUUUUAAUGAUUGACCUCGGAUUAGGUAGGGAUACCCGCUGAACUUAAGCAUAUCAAUAACGGAGGA